rnacentral:sRNA from 1 species
AUUGCCCAAGGCCUGGCUUGAGAAGCAGAACAUGGAGAGAGAGGUUGCAGCCUGCAGGAAGCUGGCCAGCCAGACCUGCCGGGCAGCGGGACCCGCGGGCAGUGCCUCUGACUCACGGCACGUCCUUGAUGCGCAGUGCUCCCCUCCCCACUUUCUCUGCCCUCCUGUGGAUCACGGGUGUCCUAGGGCUGUUGGGAGCCUGGAUUAAAGUUGCUGAGUGGCCGGCUGAUGAUCAGAUCCAGGGAGUCAGACCAGAGGUGGGGACAUCUUUUCAAAGGCAAGAAGAUGCUGCCAACACGAAUGCAGAGUUUGAGUCCAGAUCCCAAAGCCCGGUACACAAGUAUCUACGGAGCCCUCAAGAAAAUCAUGCGGACCGAAGGCUUCUGGAGGCCCUUGCGAGGCGUCAACGUCAUGAUCAUGGGUGCAGGGCCGGCCCAUGCCAUGUAUUUUGCCUGCUAUGAAAACAUGAAAAGGACUUUAAAUGACGUUUUCCACCACCAAGGAAACAGCCACCUAGCCAACGGUAUUUUGAAAGCGUUUGUCUGGAGUUAGAAAGUUCUCUUCUUCAACAC